CCUACGGGAGGCAGCAGUAGGGAAUAUUGCUCAAUGGGGGAAACCCUGAAGCAGCAACGCCGCGUGGAGGAUGAAGGUUUUCGGAUUGUAAACUCCUUUUGUUAGAGAAGAUAUUGACGGUAUCUAACGCAUAAGCACCGGCUAACUCCGUGCCAGCAGCCGCUGUAAUACGGAGGGUGCAAGCGUUCCUCGUAAUCACUGGGCGUAAAGAGCGCGUAGGCGGGAUAGCAAGUCAGAUGUGAAAGUCUAUGGCUUAACCAUAGAACUGCAUUUGAAACUGUUAUUCUAGAGUAUGGGAGAGGUAGGUGGAAUUCUUGGUGUAGGGGUAAAAUCCGUAGAGAUCAAGAGGAAUACUCAUUGCGAAGGCGACCUGCUAGAACAUAACUGACGCUGAUGCGCGAAAGCGUGGGGAGCAAACAGGAUUAGAUACCCCAGUAGUC
rnacentral:rRNA from 1 species